AUUGAACGCUGGCGGCAUGCUUUACACAUGCAAGUCGAACGGUAACAGGCCGCAAGGUGCUGACGAGUGGCGAACGGGUGAGUAAUGUAUCGGAACGUGCCCAGUCGUGGGGGAUAACGCAGCGAAAGCUGCGCUAAUACCGCAUACGAUCCAUGGGUGAAAGCGGGGGACCGUAAGGCCUCGCGCGAUUGGAGCGGCCGAUAGCAGAUUAGGGAGUUGGUGGGGUAAAGGCUCACCAAGUCAACGAACUGUAGCUGGUCUGAGAGGACGACCAGCCACACUGGGACUGAGAAACGGCCCAGACUCCUACGGGAGGCAGCAGUGGGGAAUUUUGGACAAUGGGCGCAAGCCUGAUCCAGCAAUGCCGCGUGCAGGAAGAAGGCCUUCGGGUUGUAAACUGCUUUUGUACGGAACGAAACGGUCUGGGUUAAUACCUCGGGCUAAUGACGGUACCGUAAGAAUAAGCACCGGCUAACUACGUGCCAGCAGCCGCCGUAA
rnacentral:rRNA from 1 species